UACUUAAAUAGUUUAAUAAAAAUGUAAGUUUGUGGCGCUUAAGAUGUGCAGAAGCACUUUAAGU
rnacentral:tRNA from 1 species